UGGGGUGUGGCUCAGAGGUAGAGCACGUGCCUAGCAUGUGUGAGGUACUGGGUUUGAUCCUCAGCACCACAU
rnacentral:tRNA from 1 species